GGAUGACGGAGGGACCCCGGGGGGGCUGGGCAGGGCCUGGCUGCCUCCAUCAUCCUGCUCACCCUGGGUCUGGGGGUGGUCUGUCCCCCCCAGCCCCCCACCUAUGGCUGCCAUCCCCCCGUGCUGUGCCACCACCGUGCCCGAGUGCCACCAGGCUGCUCCAUGGCCACCGUGGGCUCCCUGUGCUGGCCCCACGGGAGCAUCUCAAGGGCCAGACCCCCCCCAUCCCACCACAAAGGCCCCCGAGCACCCCUUGAUGUGGGGCUGGGGGUGAGCCCCACCUGGGGAAACUGAGGCAGGGGAGGAGGCUGAGGGCAGGGGCAGCCUGGAGCCACGGCUCAGCCCCCCCAGCACUCUGCCUGUCCUUCCUGCCCCCUGCCCUGGUGGGGGGGCCCCGCCAGCAGCCCCCCCCAGGCCGGCAUUAACCCGUUGGUCCCCGUCUGCUGCUGUCAAGUCCCCCAGAGGACCUCCCCCACCGGCCCCAAGAGCACGUCGAACCCAGCCCGUCUCAGCAACGUCCCCAGCAGCAUCCUCCGGAAAAACUCCCCCGCCGCCCGGAACGGGGGCACCGAGGCCGACGCGCAGAUCCUGGAGCUCAACCAGCAGGUAAGGGGGGGGAGAUGGAGACACCCUGCAGGGGGGGGAUCUCUGAGACCCCCAGGAGCAUCCCCCUCCCGGCCCGGGGCUGAUGGCUCUGUGUGUGUGUGUGUGUCCCUCCUCUCCUGCAGCUGAUGGACCUGAAGCUGACGGUGGACGGGCUGGAGAAGGAGCGGGAUUUCUACUUCAGCAAACUGCGGGACAUCGAGCUCAUCUGCCAGGAGCACGAGAAUGAGAACAGCCCCAUCAUCACCGGCAUCAUCAGCGUCCUCUACGCCACGGAGGAGGGCUUUGCCCCGCCGGAGGACGACGAGCUGGAGGAGCAGCAGCCAGAGGAGCAGGACGAGUACUAGCCCCGGCACGUUCCCUCGCCCCGCGCCGUCCCCCCACCAUAGACAUUGGGGGCCCGAGCCCUGCACCGACCGUCACGCGCCAUCGCCGGCUCCGGCGGCUCCGCUGGGGACCCCCCGUCUCCAUAAUAAACGGCUGCCCCUCCAGCGCCGAGCACGGCUCUACCU
rnacentral:lncRNA from 1 species